AAUAAUAAUAAUAAUAAAAAAGUUAGAUAGGCAGAAGGCAGAAAAACUGGUUUACCCAUCAGCUGUGGAGAUGCAGUAGGACCUGGAGGACUGAGCAAAGAGGCAAACACUGUUUUUCUCUUUCAGUCAUUCUCACUUCUCUUAGAGAAUAUUCUGGAUUUGCCCAUGACUCAGAGGAUGACAUCAGAAAUGACACAUAACCCAUCUGCCCUCACUGAAUGGCAGUAAGAUGUCUCUGCCUCAGGGAGAUGUUGUGAAGAUAGAUUUGUUUUCCUGUAAUUUGACUGUCUGAAAUAAUUUGACUGUAUAAAUGCUAACGAUGCUGAUCUGGAGCAAUCUUCCCACCAUUUCUCGUAAUUUCUGGUGUGUAAAACAGACUGCCUUCCUCAGCUGGAAAUUCCUGUGGGGAGUUUACUGAGAAGUGAAGAGCUCAUUCUCUGCAAGUGGAGUCCCACUGUGCAUCCUGGUGUGUUCAAUUAUGAUUUUUUAGACUGUAUGUUCUCUUUAAUGUGCAUGUGUGCCACUAGGUAGAGCAAGGUAAGGACAGAACAUAGACAUGGGAGAGAGACUUUACUACCUUAUUUCUUGGCAUUUUGAAGUGAUAAUACAAGAAGAUGAUCAGCUGCUUUGGUAGAAAGGAAUAAAUUUACUUCAUUUGUUAAGUUGAUGGAUGAAGGGAUGAUAAAGUUACUCUUGUUUAAAUUCUUUAUAUAGUGGCAUGAUUGAAAGACUAAGGCAGAUGGCAAUUUUGCAAUUGCAACUAUAUAUUUUUCAGCAAAAAAAAAAAAAAAAGAAAAAAAAGUUUUCUAAUUUUCUAACCACUGUUUUUAAGAUGUAUGUAUUACGAAGAAAAACAUUUCACUUAAAGAAACACCAAAAAACAGCAAACCAUGUCAAACUGAUAAUUGAAAAACUAAUGAAUCUUUGUUACUUGUAGGCAUUUUCUCCUGAAAGUCACAUUCCCAUCUUAACUCUCUCUCCCAGGAAGAACUAUGACCAGGAGCUCUUGUGAUGUAACUGCCUUCAUUUGUCACAAUGGGAGAUUGGUAACCAACACUGGAAACGUAUUCUGCAGAAGGAGUACAUUUAUGGAGAAGAAUAUGAACCUGUGGAAGAAAGGACCAACUGGAAUGUGUCAGCAAUUUUCCCAUGGCAUGCAAUUCUAUUGGAAUAUCUCCUUCAUUGAAAGCAAUUCACUUCAUGUUGCAAUUUAAAAAUAUAUUCCUUUUCAAAUUCUUAUUGAUAAAAGUUCUGUAUUUUAGAAUUCAAAAGGUUUUGUCUUUUUUUGUGUGUCUGAAGUUAUACAACUUACAGUUCCUGUAUCAACUUAAAUUUCCAC
rnacentral:lncRNA from 1 species